AAAUGAAUUUUACGGAGACAGCCAUGACGCUAAGGCUUCAAUGAGGUUUGGCAAACGGUUGGAGUGAAGGGUGAAGCAUCUUCUAGGAUUAGGAAUAGGAUGGCCAUCGAUAGCGUUUAUGCUUCGUCUCCACCGUUUCAGACCGGACCAUCCGGCCACCCGCGCCAUUUCUACCUCGCCGUCGAUCGCCUUCAGUUCAAAAUGCAAACGGUGGUUGAACUCGUGGAUCUGGUGGCUCGACGUCCAUGCUUGCCGAUCGUCGUCUGUUGCAGCACGCGCGACGACCUCGACUCUCUCUGCUCCUCCCUCUCCGCUCUCCCCUUCCUUUCCUCCUCCGCUUUGUACAGUGACCUCGCCGAAGAUGAACGCGCUUUCGUAUUGGAGAAGUUUCGACAGGUAACCGCGAGGUGGAAUCAGAUGAAUCACGGUGGAGCACCAAACGAGGACGAGGCAGGCAAAGAUGAGAGAUCUCAUAUGAUCAUUGUAACCGACGCUUGCCUCCCUCUCCUUGCUUCCGGAGAACUUCCUCUGAACGCUCAUCUUCUCAUCAACUAUGAAUUACCGGCAAAGAAGGAGACAUACGGAAGGCGAUUGGCAACUUGUUUAACAGCUGAUGGAUUUGUCAUUAAUAUGGUUGUUGGUGGGGAAGUGGUAACUCUAAAAAGUAUUGAAGAAAGCAGCAAUAUUGUCAUGCAAGAGAUGCCUAUGCAAAUUCUUGACAUUUUAUGAAGAUGUUUAGUCUUUGCUGUCUCUUGAAGAAAGCAAAGAAUUUGAUCGCUUGCAUCCAUAGAUGGUUGUAGACUUGAAGCCCUCUCAUCAUUCCUUUGAAUAUUCUGGAAAUAUUAAGAUUUAGUAUGAAUGAGAUAUAAGUAUUUUUUGAAGCAUAUUAGAAGAUAUCGAUGUGGUGUAUUUGGAAAUUUUGGUAUUAAUUGUUAGUAGAAUAAGGGCUACAUUAUUGUGUUACAGGAUUAAGUAUUGUAUUUAUGUUAUAUUAGAUGGAAAAAUAGAAUUGUUGUGUAGUGUGUUAUAACUUAUAUGGUUUGAGUUUUUUUUUAGAUUUGAGGAAUGAGAGAUAGUUUACAUUGAAUUGAGAUAAAUGGAAUCCAUUUACCCGAAGUGUUUAUGAAGAAAUAGAAUGAUAAAUUGUUAGUGCAGGAGGUAUGGUAUGAAUUGGAUUGACAGAUUUGAAAUUGGACCCAAUGUGACUCAUAAGAUAUGGUUGACAAAUUUUGUGAAAAAAAGUAGUGAAAACGUGUUUAUUGAAGAGGAAUGUUAAAUGUAUUGUGAUUUCAUUGUAUAUGAAUGUUGUUAGAUUUGUUUGCGACAUAUUGUUUAUUAUACGAGGCAUAAUGAUGUGGAAUAAUGUGAAUUGAUGCUUAACUAAUUUGUUUUGUUUGCAAUGGUAGAAGGAUGGAUAAAUGUUGAUACAUGACAUAAUAUAAUGUAUAAGAUAAUUUUAAUGACAGUAUGAUUUGUGGAUGUUGUGGUAAACAGACAUUGUGAUAAGGGUGUGAAAAAGGGCAAUUGGUUGAAAUUUGUUACAGAUUAAACUGAUUGAUAAGUUGCAAAUGGAGGUGCAAUAAUGUGCAGCUAAUACAAUUGAUAUUAGUCCAACAAGUGAUGUUUGUGAGCCGAUUGUGCUAUAGAGAUUAGGUGGUCUAGUCGCGGUGGACGAAAAUUAGAAUAACAGUAAAUGACUUAAAGCAAGUUUACGAAAUUUGGUUAUUUAAUUAUUACAGUAAAUGGCCCAGGCCUAGUGAAAAAAGGGGAACAAUUAAAUUUAAUUUGAGUAAUAUUAUGGAAACAUGUCUUAUUAGGAAGUUUCACUUCCAAUGUUAGGAGAAAAUAAUAUAAUUUUAGGGUUUAAAAAGAUAUUGGUAAAUUAAGUAAUGAGAGAAUGCAAAUAAUAAAUUUGUAUUAAUGUCAAAAAUUGUAUAUCUUGUGAAAUAAUGUUCCUAAAGUCAGUGUGAAUGAUGUAAAAUUACGUUACAUUAUAAAAUAAUAAUGAAAAUAGUAAUGACAACAUGCACAAAUCAAUAGAAGGGUUUAAAGAAGGAAACGACAUGAAUUUAUACAUUUGAGUACUACCUAACAACAACAUGCACAAAGUUCUUCAAACAACAAGGGUUUAAAGAAGGAAACGACAUGAAUUUAUAGAAGGUUCUCAACCCAAACAAUUUAGUUAUCCAAGUCCACAAGAUAAAUCACCAAGGUUAUUUUAUUUUAUUUUACUACUGUCAAAAACUUACAUUUAUGUUCUCUUAUGAAUAUGACCUAUAUCAUUAUAACUAUUUGAGUUCCACAUUGACGGUUAUUUAACUUUAAUUUAUCUUAUCUUAUGAACAUCGCUUGUAU